rnacentral:rRNA from 1 species
UACGUAGGUGACAAGCGUUGUCCGGAUUUACUGGGCGUAAAGAGCGCGCAGGCGGUCGUUCAAGUCGAGUGUGAAAGCCCCCGGCUCAACUGGGGAGGGUCACUUGAUACUGAUCGACUCGAAGGCAGGAGAGGGAAGCGGAAUUCCCGGUGUAGUGGUGAAAUGCGUAGAUAUCGGGAGGAACACCAGUGGCGAAGGCGGCUUCCUGGCCUGUUCUUGACGCUGAGGCGCGAAAGCUAGGGGAGCAAACGGG